AGGGUUGGGGGGGAGUUAGUUGUAGGGUGUGGGACAGGGUUGGGGGAAGGGUUGUUGGUUUUUUAGGGUGUGGGACAGGGUUGGGGGAAGGCGGGUGUUGGUUGUAGGGUGUGGGUCAGGGUUGGAGGAGGUGUUAGUUGUAGGGUGUGGGACAGGGUUGGAGGAGGUGUUAGUUGUAGGGUGUGGGACAGGGUUGGGGGAUGUUGGUUGUUGUUGUAGGGUGUGGGGUAGGGUUGAGGGGGUGUUGGUUGUAGGGUAUGGGGUAGGGUUGGGGGGUGUUGGUUGUAGGGUGUGGGACAGGA